rnacentral:rRNA from 1 species
CGAAUGCUGACAUAAGUAACGAUAAAGCGGGUGAAAAGCCCGCUCGCCGGAAGACCAAGGGUUCCUGUCCAACGUUAAUCGGGGCAGGGUGAGUCGACCCCUAAGGCGAGGCCGAAAGGCGUAGUCGAUGGGAAACAGGUUAAUAUUCCUGUACUUGGUGUUACUGCGAAGGGGGGACGGAGAAGGCUAUGUUGGCCGGGCGACGGUUGUCCCGGUUUAAGCGUGUAGGCUGGUUUUCCAGGCAAAUCCGGAAAAUCAAGGCUGAGGCGUGAUGACGAGGCACUACGGUGCUGAAGCAACAAAUGCCCUGCUUCCAGGAAAAGCCUCUAAGCAUCAGGUAACAUCAAAUCGUACCCCAAACCGACACAGGUGGUCAGGUAGAGAAUACCAAGGCGCUUGAGAGAACUCGGGUGAAGGAACUAGGCAAAAUGGUGCCGUAACUUCGGGAGAAGGCACGCUGAUAUGUAGGUGAAGUCCCUCGCGGAUGGAGCUGAAAUCAGUCGAAGAUACCAGCUGGCUGCAACUGUUUAUUAAAAACACAGCACUGUGCAAACACGAAAGUGGACGUAUACGGUGUGACGCCUGCCCGGUGCCGGAAGGUUAAUUGAUGGGGUCAGCGCAAGCGAAGCUCUUGAUCGAAGCCC